CACAAAAUUCACAAUGGAAAGAGGAUGUACUUUUAUUCAUAAACAACUAAGGUAACAAGAGUUUCAAAUAAUAAAAACUAGGAUGACCAAGUCUAUAGUGCCAUAACAUGACUUUAUUAUCAACUUGAACAAAGUUCAAACAAGCUGAACUAAGAUUUACUGAACUGUCCCCGUUUUCAAGAAAAUGGAGACCUUCAGACUCUCUAGCAUUGCCAAUCAUCCUCCCCGAGACCUUGUCCUGAAAUACGCAUGAAAUAGAUUUAAAGAUAGCAUGACAAUUAAGGUUUUGAGUCAAUUUGUUGAUGGACAAAAGAUUAUGAGACAGUUUUGGAACAUGAACGACAUCAAAAAGGGUCAAAAGAGGGGUUAGUUUGACUGUCCCUUUUCCAACAAUUGUUGAGAAGGAACCAUUAGCAAUUUUGACUUUUUUAUUUCUUGCUAAAGGAGUGUAAGUUGAAAAAAUGGGAAUUCCAUGUCAUGUGAUCACUAGCCCCUGAAUCUAUGAUCCAAUGACUUAUACCACUUGAAUCUAUACUUACAAAAACGGAGGGUACAUUACCUGCUAGGGAAAAAGAACAAGUGGGAGUAGAAGAAUCAGAUUUACUGGUUUGGAGAACUUGGAGAAAUUUGUGCAGCCACUCUACUGUUCCUUAGUGAAAGGUUGUCUUUCUAGAGAAGAUCAUAGCUCUGGUUCUUUGCUGGUACACUGAAGAGCCUGACCAUGGUUGUCUACCAUUUUCCUGUUCCAGCUAGGCGGUUUCCUAUGGAUAUUCCAGCAAGUUUCACGAGUGUGCCCAUAUUUUUUGCAAAAAUCACACCAC
rnacentral:lncRNA from 1 species